rnacentral:misc_RNA from 1 species
UUUCAAAUUCCCCUUGCUAUUUUCUUGUUGAAUAUAUGCCUUUGUUUUAUGAUACAGCAAGCCAAUGCAUUUGCAGUGAGAUGAGUAACAUUUUACAUUAAUCCUUCUACUGUGGUAGGAUGUUUUUAUGCCAUUUUUUCUGCCAGAAACUAUAAUUGAAUAUUUGCUUCUUGUUCAAAGGGAUUGAUACCAAAUGGUCAAGA